UGGGGAAUAUUGCACAAUGGGCGCAAGCCUGAUGCAGCCAUGCCGCGUGUGUGAAGAAGGCCUUCGGGUUGUAAAGCACUUUCAGCGGGGAGGAAGGCGUUAAGGUUAAUAACCUUGGCGAUUGACGUUACCCGCAGAAGAAGCACCGGCUAACUCCGUGCCAGCAGCCGCGGUAAUACGGAGGGUGCAAGCGUUAAUCGGAAUUACCGGGCGUAAAGCGCACGCAGGCGGUCUGUCAAGUCGGAUGUGAAAUCCCCGGGCUCAACCUGGGAACUGCAUUCGAAACUGGCAGGCUAGAGUCUUGUAGAGGGGGGUAGAAUUCCAGGUGUAGCGGUGAAAUGCGUAGAGAUCUGGAGGAAUACCGGUGGCGAAGGCGGCCCCCUGGACAAAGACUGACGCUCAGGUGCGAAAGCGUGGGGAGCAAACAGG
rnacentral:rRNA from 1 species